UGAGUACUCCCUCCGUCCCAUAAAGAUUGGCACGGAUUUAAACUUGGUUUAAAUCCGUGCCAAUCUUUAUGGGACGGAGUUAAAGAUUGGCACGGAUUUAAACUUGGUUUAAAUCCGUGCCAAUCUUUAUGGGACGGAGGGAGUAAUAA
rfam:Brachypodium distachyon strain Bd21 chromosome 4, whole genome shotgun sequence.